GACGAACGCUGGCGGCGUGCUUAACACAUGCAAGUCGAACGGACAGGCCCUGCUCUUGUGGGUUGCUCGUGUGGCGCACGCGUGUGUAACACGCGUGUAACCUGUCCUUGUCUUUGGGAUAUCUCCUGGAAACUCGGGCUCUUACCGGAUAGGAGCUCCUGCUCCAUGGUGGGGGUUGGUAAGUUUCGGCGGUUGUGGAUGGUCUCGCGGCUUAUCAGCUUGUUUGUGGGGUAGUGGCUUACCAAGGCUUUGACGGAUAGCCUGCCUGAGAGGGUGACCGGCCACAAUGGGACUGAGAGACGGCCCAGACUCCUACGGGAGGCAGCGGUGGGGAAUAUGGCACAAUGGGCGGAAGCCUGAGGCAGCAACGCCGCGUGCGGGAUGACGGCCUUCGAGUGGUAAACCGCUGUCGCCUGUGACGAAGCGGGAGUGACGGUAAUGGGUAAAGAAGCACCGGCUAACUACGUG
rnacentral:rRNA from 1 species